GACGUAGGGGGCGAGCGUUGUCCGGAUUUAUUGGGCGUAAAGAGCUCGUAGGCGGUUUGCCGCGUCUGCCGUGAAAGUCCGGGGCUCAACUCCGGAUCUGCGGUGGGUACGGGCAGACUAGAGUGAUGUAGGGGAGACUGGAAUUCCUGGUGUAGCGGUGAAAUGCGCAGAUAUCAGGAGGAACACCGGUGGCGAAGGCGGGUCUCUGGGCCGAUACUGCCGCUGAGGAGCGAAAGCGUGGGGAGCGAACAGG
rnacentral:rRNA from 1 species